GGUAUUGUUUACCCCACUGUGAGCCCCGGAAACUUAGAUUGGUGUAAACACCGA
rfam:Lactobacillus harbinensis DSM 16991 NODE_26, whole genome shotgun sequence.